rnacentral:rRNA from 1 species
AGUGAACGCUGGCGGUAGGCCUAACACAUGCAAGUCGAACGGCAGCACAGUAAGAGCUUGCUCUUACGGGUGGCGAGUGGCGGACGGGUGAGGAAUACAUCGGAAUCUACUUUUUCGUGGGGGAUAACGUAGGGAAACUUACGCUAAUACCGCAUACGACCUACGGGUGAAAGCAGGGGAUCUUCGGACCUUGCGCGAUUGAAUGAGCCGAUGUCGGAUUAGCUAGUUGGCGGGGUAAAGGCCCACCAAGGCGACGAUCCGUAGCUGGUCUGAGAGGAUGAUCAGCCACACUGGAACUGCGACACGGUCCAGACUCCUACGGGAGGCAGCGGUGGGGAAUAUUGGACAAUGGGCGCAAGCCUGAUCCAGCCAUACCGCGUGGGUGAAGAAGGCCUUCGGGUUGUAAAGCCCUUUUGUUGGGAAAGAAAAGCAGCAGGUUAAUACCCCGCUGUUCUGACGGUACCCAAAGAAUAAGCACCGGCUAACUUCGUG